GUGUAUAAAAGGGCUUAGCCGAGGUUUGAGUUAGUUGUUGUUGGGAGCUGUUGGUGGGUAGUUGGUUGGUUUUAGUGGGUUGGCUGGUUGGGAAAGGCAGUUGGAGAAGCAGUUGGCAGGUAGUUGGAAAUGGAGAGACAGUUAGGGCAGUGGGUUCUUGAGUGAGGGGAGAUAGAAGAGAUAGAGAGAGGAAAAUAAGACUAAGAAAGUAAAGAGUAACAACGUUUGGAAUGCCGGAAAAGUUUGUUUGUUUCUGAAAUAAAAUACACUCUUCUUUACUAAUUGAGAACCUGACUGAGGCUGAAGUGAUUUUACCAGGGAGGACCUGGUUGAUGGGAGCGGAUUAGUGGUGUACGGGUCAAUAGUCCGUGAGACGACCGGGGGCUCUGUACGAACGCCACACACACCAACUUGGGGAAGUAGUUAUCACCUUUCUGCUACCCAGAAGACCGUUCGAGUUCCGAAACGUUCAAAAACCGAGGCACAAAGGGUGGCCUGCCAAUUCAACAGAGAAAAUUGUGAAAAACAACAGAUACACGCAACAGAAGCCGUUCAACUUCCGAGGCGGGUUCGAAAACGGAAACAUUUACUUCUGGGUUUUCAGCGUUCGAAAACCGAAACGUUUGGCAGUGGAGACGUCCAAAAACCAAGGUAUUAAGAUCAUAAGCCCACCUCCUGGUGCAUAUCUACAAUUUAUGCUCUAU